ACUGGGAUCGUUCAGUCGGUAGAGCACGAGGUUCUUAAAUCUCAGGGUUGCGGGUUCGAGCCCCACCUUGGGCA